CACGUAGGGUGCGAGCGUUGUCCGGAAUUAUUGGGCGUAAAGAGCUCGUAGGCGGUGUGUCGCGUCGGCCGUGAAAACCUGCAGCUUAACUGUGGGCGUGCGGUCGAUACGGGCAUCACUGGAGUUCGGCAGGGGAGACUGGAAUUCCUGGUGUAGCGGUGAAAUGCGCAGAGAUCGGGAGGAACACCAGUGGCGAAGGCGGCUUCCUGGACCGUGGCUGACGCUGAGGCGCGAAAGCGUGGGGAGCGAUCCGG
rnacentral:rRNA from 1 species